GAUGAACGCUGGCGGCGUGCCUAAUACAUGCAAGUCGAGCGAACGGACGAGAAGCUUGCUUCUCUGAUGUUAGCGGCGGACGGGUGAGUAACACGUGGAUAACCUACCUAUAAGACUGGGAUAACUUCGGGAAACCGGAGCUAAUACCGGAUAAUAUUUUGAACCGCAUGGUUCAAAAGUGAAAGACGGUCUUGCUGUCACUUAUAGAUGGAUCCGCGCUGCAUUAGCUAGUUGGUAAGGUAACGGCUUACCAAGGCAACGAUGCAUAGCCGACCUGAGAGGGUGAUCGGCCACACUGGAACUGAGACACGGUCCAGACUCCUACGGGAGGCAGCAGUAAGGAAUCCUCCGCAAUGGGCGAAAGCCUGACGGAGCCACGCCCCGUGAGUGAUGAAGGUCUUCGGAUCGUAAAACUCUGUUAUUAGGGAAGAACAUAUGUGUAAGUAACUGUGCACAUCUUGACGGUACCUAAUCAGAAAGCCACGGCUAACUACGUGCCAGCAGCCGCGGUAAUACGUAGGUGGCAAGCGUUAUCCGGAAUUAUUGGGCGUAAAGCGCGCGUAGGCGGUUUUUUAAGUCUGAUGUGAAAGCCCACGGCUCAACCGUGGAGGGUCAUUGGAAACUGGAAAACUUGAGUGCAGAAGAGGAAAGUGGUAUUCCAUGUGUAGCGGUGAAAUGCGCAGAGAUAUGGAGGAACACCAGUGGCGAAGGCGACUUUCUGGUCUGUAACUGACGCUGAUGUGCGAAAGCGUGGGGAUCAAACAGGAUUAGAUACCCUGGUAGUCCACGCCGUAAACGAUGAGUGCUAAGUGUUAGGGGGUUUCCGCCCCUUAGUGCUGCAGCUAACGCAUUAAGCACUCCGCCUGGGGAGUACGACCGCAAGGUUGAAACUCAAAGGAAUUGACGGGGACCCGCACAAGCGGUGGAGCAUGUGGUUUAAUUCGAAGCAACGCGAAGAACCUUACCAAAUCUUGACAUCCUUUGACAACUCUAGAGAUAGAGCCUUCCCCUUCGGGGGACAAAGUGACAGGUGGUGCAUGGUUGUCGUCAGCUCGUGUCGUGAGAUGUUGGGUUAAGUCCCGCAACGAGCGCAACCCUUAAGCUUAGUUGCCAUCAUUAAGUUGGGCACUCUAAGUUGACUGCCGGUGACAAACCGGAGGAAGGUGGGGAUGACGUCAAAUCAUCAUGCCCCUUAUGAUUUGGGCUACACACGUGCUACAAUGGACAAUACAAAGGGCAGCGAAACCGCGAGGUCAAGCAAAUCCCAUAAAGUUGUUCUCAGUUCGGAUUGUAGUCUGCAACUCGACUACAUGAAGCUGGAAUCGCUAGUAAUCGUAGAUCAGCAUGCUACGGUGAAUACGUUCCCGGGUCU
rnacentral:rRNA from 1 species